rnacentral:rRNA from 1 species
AGAGUUUGAUCAUGGCUCAGAACGUACGCUGGCGGCACGCCUAAUACAUGCAAGUCGAACGGGGUAGCAAUACCUAGUGGCAGACGGGUGAGUAACAUGUGGGUAUCUUCCCUAUGGUGAGGAAUAACACGAGGAAACUUGUGCUAAUACCUCAUAAGUCUUUACGGAGAAAGCUUUAUGCGCCAUUGGAUGAGCCCGCACUUGAUUAGUUAGUUGGUAAGGUAAUGGCUUACCAAGACUUUGAUCAAUAGCUGAUUUGAGAGGAUGAUCAGCCACAUUGGGACUGAGACACGGCCCAAACUCCUACGGGAGGCAGCAGUAGGGAAUCUUGCACAAUGGAGGAAACUCUGAUGCAGCGAUGCCGCGUGAGUGAAGAAGGCCCUUGGGUUGUAAAGCUCUUUCGUCGGGGAAGAAAAUGACUGUACCCCGAAUAAGAAGGUCCGGCUAACUUCGUGCCAGCAGCCGCGGUAAUACGAAGGGACCUAGCGUAGUUCGGAAUUACUGGGCUUAAAGAGUUCGUAGUGGUUAAAA